rnacentral:rRNA from 1 species
ACACCGGCAGCCCAAGUGGUGGCCAUUUUUAUUGGGCCUAAAGCGUUCGUAGCCGGCCUGAUAAGUCUCUGGUGAAAUCCCGCAGCUUAACUGUGGGAAUUGCUGGAGAUACUAUCAGGCUUGAGGUCGGGAGAGGUUAGAGGUACUCCCAGGGUAGGGGUGAAAUCCUAUAAUCCUGGGAGGACCACCUGUGGCGAAGGCGUCUAACGGGAACGAACCUGACGGUGAGUAACGAAAGCCAGGGGCGCGAACCGGAUUAGAUACCCGGGUAGUCCUGGCCGUAAACGAUGUGGACUUGGUGUUGGGAUGGCUUCGAGCUGCCCCAGUGCCGAAGGGAAGCUGUUAAGUCCACCGCCUGGGAAGUACGGCCGCAAGGCUGAAACUUAAAGGAAUUGGCGGGG